CACUAUAUGAACUAACACAUAGCCCCGCCUGCUCAAUGAUAUAAAUAGCCGCAGAACCACUGUGCUAAGGUAGCAUAAUCAUUAGCCUAUUAAUUAUAGGAUAGAAUGAAGGGCAACACGAGUGGAAAAAUGUCUCUUUUAUAAUAGAUAAAUUUUAUCUUCAAGUAAAAAAGCUCAAAUAAAAAUGAAAGACGACAAGACCCUAUCAAACUUAACUCAAAAGUUGAGCUGGGGUGGCCUACAAAAAAACCUUAACUACAACUACCCUAAAAAACCUAAACAAAGUUAAUAAAUCAAGUUACUGUAGGGAUAACAGUGUUAAAAUUUUCCAAAGCUCUCAUUAUAAAAAUUACAUACAACCUCGAUGUUGAAUAAUAUACUUCUUGGAGCAAAAACUAAGCAAAGAAAGUCUGUUCGACUUGUAACAAAUUACA
rnacentral:rRNA from 1 species